GACGGAGGAUGCAAGUAUUAUCCGGAAUCACUGGGCGUAAAGCGUCUGUAGGUUGUUUAAAAAGUCUGCAGUUAAAGGUUGAAGCUUAACUUCAAAAAUGCCGUAGAAACUUUUAAACUAGAGGAUGGUAGGGGUAGAGGGAAUUUCCAGUGGAGCGGUGAAAUGUGUAGAUAUUGGAAAGACCACCGAUGGCGAAGGCACUCUACUGGGCCAUGACUGACACUGAGAGACGAAAGCUAGGGGAGCAAAUGGG
rnacentral:rRNA from 1 species